AUGGCGUCGGCAGCAGGCGAUGGGACGAGGAGGAGGAAGACGGCGUGCGUCACCGGCGGCAGCGGGUACAUCGCGUCGGCGCUGGUGAAGAUGCUGCUGGAGAAGGGGUACGCCGUCAAGACCACCGUCAGGAACCCCGAUGACACGGAGAAGAACGCGCAUCUCAAGGCCUUGGCGGGGCUCGGCCCCUUGGAGGUCUUCCGCGCCGAUCUGAACGAAGAGGGCAGCUUCGACGGCGCCGUUGCCGGCUGCGACUACGCGUUCCUCGUCGCCGCUCCGGUGAACCUCGAAGCGGAGAACCCUGAGAAGGACGUGAUCGAGCCGGCCGUCCACGGAACACUCAACGUGAUGAGGUCGUGCGUGCGAGCGGGGACGGUGAAGCGCGUGGUCCUGACAUCGUCGGCGGCCGCGGUAUCCAGCCGGCCGCUGGAAGGCGAUGGCCAUGUCCUUGACGAGGAAUCCUGGUCCGACGUCGAGUUCCUCAGAUCGACAAAAACCGGUCCUUGGGCGUACCCUGUGUCGAAGGUGCUUCUGGAGAAGGCGGCGCGCGCGUUCGCGGAGGAGAACGGCAUCAGCCUCGUCACCGUGUGCCCCGUCGUCGUCGUCGGCGAGGCGCCGGCGGCGGAUGUCCUCACCAGCGUCGGCCACGUCCUCUCCCUGCUAUCCGGCGAUGAUGCGAGAGCCGGCAUCCUGGAACACAUUCAGAGGGCGUCGGGUUCGAUCCCGAUGGUCCACAUCGACGACCUCUGCCGCGCCGAGCCGUUCCUCGCCGAGGAGGAGGCCGCGUCGGGGCGCUACAUCGUCUCCAGCAUCAACACCACUGCCGUGGGUCUAGCCCGGUUCUUGGACGCAAAGUACCCGCAGUACAAAGUCGAUACAGAUCGGUUCGGCGAUCUCCCCGAGAAGCCAAGAGUGUGCGUUUCAUCGGCGAAGCUCGUCAAGGAAGGGUUCGAGUACAAGUACAAGAACCUGGACGAGAUAUACGACAACGUCGUCGAGUACGGAAGGGCCUUGGGAAUCCUUCCGUACUAG
rnacentral:rRNA from 1 species